rnacentral:rRNA from 1 species
UCAGUUAUCGUUUAUUUGAUAGUACCUACCCACUACUUGGAUAACCGUGGUAAUUCUAGAGCUAAUACAUGCUAAAAGCCCCGACUUCGGGAGGGGUGUAUUUAUUAGAUAAAAAACCAAUGCCCCUCGGGGCUCCUUGGUGAUUCAUGAUAACUAAACGGAUCGCAUGGCCUUGCGCCGGCGACGGUUCAUUCAAAUUUCUGCCCUAUCAACUUUCGAUGGUAAGGUAUUGGCUUACCAUGGUUUCAACGGGUAACGGGGAAUUAGGGUUCGAUUCCGGAGAGGGAGCCUGAGAAACGGCUACCACAUCCAAGGAAGGCAGCAGGCGCGCAAAUUACCCAAUGCCGACUCGGCGAGGUAGCGACAAUAAAUACUGAUACAGGGCUCUUUUGGGUCUUGUAAUCGGAAUGAGUACAAUUUAAACCCCUUAACGAGGAACAAUUGGAGGGCAAGUCUGGUGCCAGCAGCCGCGGUAAUUCCAGCUCCAAUAGCGUAUAUUAAAGUUGUUGCAGUUAAAAAGCUCGUAGUUGAACCUUGGGCCUGGCUGGCCGGUCCGCCUCACCGCGUGUACUGGUCCGGCCGGGCCUUUCCUUCUGGAGAUCCGCAUGCCCUUCACUGGGUGUGCUGGGGAACCAGGACUUUUACUUUGAAAAAAUUAGAGUGUUCAAAGCAGGCCUUUGCUCGAAUACGUUAGCAUGGAAUAAUAGAAUAGGACGUGCGGUCCUAUUUUGUUGGUUUCUAGGACCGCCGUAAUGAUUAAUAGGGAUGGUCGGGGGCAUCAGUAUUCAAUUGUCAGAGGUGAAAUUCUUGGAUUUAUUGAAGACUAACUACUGCGAAAGCAUUUGCCAAGGAUGUUUUCAUUAAUCAGUGAACGAAAGUUAGGGGAUCGAAGACGAUCAGAUACCGUCGUAGUCUUAACCGUAAACUAUGCCGACUAGGGAUCGGGCGAUGUUUCUAUCUUGACUCGCUCGGCACCUUACGAG